GUGCUCAUUUCAGCAGCAUAUAAACUAAAACUGGAGCAAAACAGAGAAGAGUUGCACGGCCCCUGCACAAGGAUGACACGCAAGUUUGUGAAGCAUUUCAUUAAAAA